rnacentral:rRNA from 1 species
GACGAACGCUGGCGGCGUGCUUAACACAUGCAAGUCGAACGGAAAGGCCCUGCUUUUGUGGGGUGCUCGAGUGGCGAACGGGUGAGUAACACGUGAGUAACCUGCCCUUGACUUUGGGAUAACUUCAGGAAACUGGGGCUAAUACCGGAUAGGAGCUCCUGCUGCAUGGUGGGGGUUGGAAAGUUUCGGCGGUUGGGGAUGGACUCGCGGCUUAUCAGCUUGUUGGUGGGGUAGUGGCUUACCAAGGCUUUGACGGGUAGCCGGCCUGAGAGGGUGACCGGCCACAUUGGGACUGAGAUACGGCCCAGACUCCUACGGGAGGCAGCAGUGGGGAAUAUUGCACAAUGGGCGGAAGCCUGAUGCAGCAACGCCGCGUGCGGGAUGACGGCCUUCGGGAUGUAAACCGCUUUCGCCUGUGACCAAGCGUGAGUGACGGUAAUGGGUAAAGAAGCACCGGCUAACUACGUG